rnacentral:rRNA from 1 species
UGAUUAUGACGUGCUUGCACUGAAUGAGAUUUUAACACGAAGUGAGUGGCGGACGGGUGAGUAACACGUGGGUAACCUGCCCAGAAGCAGGGGAUAACACCUGGAAACAGAUGCUAAUACCGUAUAACAGAGAAAACCGCCUGGUUUUCUUUUAAAAGAUGGCUCUGCUAUCACUUCUGGAUGGACCCGCGGCGCAUUAGCUAGUUGGUGAGGUAACGGCUCACCAAGGCGAUGAUGCGUAGCCGACCUGAGAGGGUAAUCGGCCACAUUGGGACUGAGACACGGCCCAGACUCCUACGGGAGGCAGCAGUAGGGAAUCUUCCACAAUGGACGCAAGUCUGAUGGAGCAACGCCGCGUGAGUGAAGAAGGGUUUCGGCUCGUAAAGCUCUGUUGUUAAAGAAGAACGUGGGUGAGAGUAACUGUUCACCCAGUGACGGUAUUUAACCAGAAAGCCACGGCUAACUACGUGCCAGCAGCCGCGGUAAUACGUAGGUGGCAAGCGUUAUCCGGAUUUAUUGGGCGUAAAGCGAGCGCAGGCGGUCUUUUAAGUCUAAUGUGAAAGCCUUCGGCUCACCCGAAGAAGUGCAUUGGAAACUGGGAGACUUGAGUGCAGAAGAGGACAGUGGAACUCCAUGUGUAGCGGUGAAAUGCGUAGAUAUAUGGAAGAACACCAGUGGCGAAGGCGGCUGUCUGGUCUGUAACUGACGCUGAGGCUCAAAGCAUGGGUAGCAACAGGAUAGAUCCCUGGUAGCCAUGCCGAAACGAUGAUACUAAGUGUUGGAGGGUUCCCCCCUUCAGUGCUGCGCCACGCAUAAGUACUCCGCUGGGGAGACGACCGCAGGGUGAACU